rnacentral:rRNA from 1 species
GUGCACCAGGCGAGAAACCUCCGCAAUACACGAAAGUGUGACGGGGCCAUCCCGAGUGCCGUCCGCUGAGGACGGCUUUUCCCCAGUGUACAUAGCUGGGGGAAUAAGGAGAGGGCAAGCCUGGUGUCAGCCGCCGCGGUAAUACCAGCUCUCCGAGUGGUGGGGACGCUUAUUGGGCCUAAAGCAUCCGUAGCCGGCUGGGUAAGUUCCUUGGGAAAUUUGGCUGCUUAACAGUCAAGCUUUCAGGGAAUACUGCUCGGCUUGGGACCGGGAGAGGUCAGAGGUACUCCAGGGGUAGGGGUGAAAUCCAUUAAUCCUUGGGGGACCACCGGUAGCGAAGGCGUCUGACCAGACCGGGUCCGACGGUGAGGGACGAAGGCUAGGGGCGCGAACCGGAUUAGAUACCCCUGUAGU